AACGAACGCUGGCGGCAUGCCUAACACAUGCAAGUCGAACGAGACCUUCGGGUAUAGUGGCGCACGGGUGCGUAACGCGUGGGAACCUGCCCUUAGGUUCGGAAUAACUCCCCGAAAGGGGUGCUAAUACCGGAUAAUGUCUUCGGACCAAAGAUUUAUCGCCUUUGGAUGGGCCCGCGUUGGAUUAGCUAGUUGGUAGGGUAAAAGCCUACCAAGGCGACGAUCCAUAGCUGGUCUGAGAGGAUGAUCAGCCACACUGGGACUGAGACACGGCCCAGACUCCUACGGGAGGCAGCAGUGGGGAAUAUUGGACAAUGGGCGAAAGCCUGAUUCAGCAAUGCCGCGUGAGUGAUGAAGGCCUUAGGGUUGUAAAGCUCUUUUACCCGGGAUGAUAAUGACAGUACCGGGAGAAUAAGCUCCGGCUAACUCCGUG
rnacentral:rRNA from 1 species